UGGCCUAUAGUGUAAUGGUAGCACCACAGAUUCUGACUCUGUUAGCCUAGGUUCAAGUCCUGGUAGGCCAA
rnacentral:tRNA from 1 species